rnacentral:rRNA from 1 species
AGAGUUUGAUCCUGGCUCAGGAUGAACGCUGGCGGCGUGCCUAAUACAUGCAAGUCGAGCGGUAAGGCCCUUCGGGGUACACGAGCGGCGGACGGCUGAGUAACACGUAGGAACGUACCCCAAAGUGAGGGAUAAGCACCAGAAAUGGUGUCUAAUACCGCAUGUGCUCUAAGGAGUAAAGCUCCGGCGCUUUGGGAACGGCCUGCGCAUGAUUAGCUAGAUGGUGAGGUAAUGGCUCACCAUGGCGACGAUCAUUAGCUGGUCUGAGAGGAUGAUCAGCCAGACUGGGACUGAGACACGGCCCAGACUCCUACGGGAGGCAGCAGUAGGGAAUUUUCCACAAUGGGCGAAAGCCUGAUGGAGCAACGCCGCGUGCAGGAUGAAUGCCUUCGGGUUGUAAACUGCUUUUAUAUGUGACGAAUAUGACGGUAGCAUAUGAAUAAGGAUCGGCUAACUCCGUGCCAGCAGCCGCGGUCAUACGGAGGAUCCAAGCGUUAUCCGGAAUUACUGGGCGUAAAGAGUUGCGUAGGCGGCAUAGUAAGCAGAUAGUGAAAGCGUGUGGCUCAACCAUACUCACAUUAUCUGAACUGCUAAGCUAGAGGACGAGAGAGGUCACUGGAAUUCCUAGUGUAGGAGUGAAAUCCGUAGAUAUUAGGAGGAACACCAAUGGCGUAGGCAGGUGACUGGCUCGUUCCUGACGCUCAGGCACGAAAGCGUGGGGAGCAAACGGGAUUAGAUACCCCGGUAGUCCACGCCGUAAACGAUGGAUGCUAGCUGUUAGAGGUAUCGACCCCUCU